rnacentral:rRNA from 2 species
AGUGAACGCUGGCGGCAGGCCUAACACAUGCAAGUCGAACGGCAGCACAGGAGAGCUUGCUCUCUGGGUGGCGAGUGGCGGACGGGUGAGGAAUACAUCGGAAUCUACCUUGUCGUGGGGGAUAACGUAGGGAAACUUACGCUAAUACCGCAUACGACCUACGGGUGAAAGCAGGGGACCUUCGGGCCUUGCGCGAUUGGAUGAGCCGAUGUCGGAUUAGCUAGUUGGCGGGGUAAAGGCCCACCAAGGCGACGAUCCGUAGCUGGUCUGAGAGGAUGAUCAGCCACACUGGAACUGAGACACGGUCCAGACUCCUACGGGAGGCAGCAGUGGGGAAUAUUGGACAAUGGGCGCAAGCCUGAUCCAGCCAUGCCGCGUGGGUGAAGAAGGCCUUCGGGUUGUAAAGCCCUUUUGUUGGGAAAGAAAAGCAGCCGGCCAAUACCCGGUUGUUCUGACGGUACCCAAAGAAUAAGCACCGGCUAACUUCGUG